rnacentral:rRNA from 1 species
UCGGGAAUUUUGCGCAAUGGGCGAAAGCCUGACGCAGCAACGCCGCGUGAGGGAUGACGGCCUUCGGUUGUAACCUCUUUCUCAGGGAAGGUGAUGACGGUACCUGAGGAAUAAGCCACGGCUAACUACGUGCCAGCAGCCGCGGUAAUACGUAGGUGGCGAGCGUUGUCCGGAUUUACUGGGCGUAAAGAGCGCGCAGGCGGUCGUUCAAGUCGCGUGUGAAAGCCCCGGCUCAACUGGGGAGGGUCACGCGAUACUGAUCGACUCGAAGGCAGGAGAGGGUAGUGGAAUUCCCGGUGUAGUGGUGAAAUGCGUAGAUAUUGGGAGGAACACCAGUGGCGAAGGCGACUACCUGGCCUGUUCUUGACGCUGAGGCGCGAAAGCUAGGGGAGCAAACGGGAUUAGAUACCCCGGUAGUCCUAGCCGUAAACGAUGGACACUAGGUGUUGGUGGUAUCAACCCCGCCAGUGCCGAAGCUAACGCAUUAAGUGUCCCG